CCCUGAUGCAGCGACGCCGCGUGGGUGAAGAAGCGCCUCGGCGCGUAAAGCCCUGUCAGCAGGGAAGAAAAUGACGGUACCUGAAGAAGAAGCCCGGCUAACUACGUGCC
rnacentral:rRNA from 1 species